rnacentral:RNase_P_RNA from 1 species
AAAGUUGGCGAGGCAGUUACGGAGGGUGUCAACACCCUUUGAGGAAAGUCCGGGCUCCCGAAAGAUCACGCUUGCUGGGUAACGCCCAGUGCGGGUAACCGCGAGGAGAGUGCCACAGAAAAAUACCGCCGGUUCAAGGCCUAGUGCCCUAUAGCCGGUAAGGGUGCAAAGGUGCGGUAAGAGCGCACCAGCAGCAUCGAGAGGUGCUGGCUCGGUAAACCCCGGUGGGGAGCAAGGUCGCAGGGGCAAGGGUUGAUCUUUUUCCCGUCCCGUUUUUGGAGUACCGCUUGAGGGAGCGGGUAACCGCUGUCCCAGAUAGAUAACCGCCCUUCAGUUUCUUCGGAAGCUGGAGAACAGAACCCGGCUUAUGUCCAACUUUUCCA